CCGCAUCAUACAGACAGUGAUCAUAUCCUGAUGUAACCCAUCGCUCUCCAGCUGGAGGAAGUGCUGCUUUAUAAUCACAGAACAUUCACUCACUAUUAAAGUGAUUCUGGCUGCUAGAAAGGAGAACAUAUCCUACAACAUGAAAAAGUCAAGUCAACAGUUCACAUUGUUCACUCUAAACAAGAAUUUCACUUCAUCAGAAAGUUCAGUCCUCAAAAAAAGGGACCAGCUUUAACGUUUAAACCUGUGAGUUUUGGCUGUCCAUGUUAAAGACUGGAAAUGUAACAAUAAAAUAAACAUCCUAUAAACAAAUUUUCAGCAAUUAUGGAACCUCCAAAGAUUUGAGCCAUAAUUAAUAAUUUGUAUUGUAUAUUUUCUAUCAGCUGCAUGCAGAAUCUGGAUUGUAGGGACAGCUACAUUCGACGUUGGUGGAAAGCGAGCAAGGGAAACCAUGGGCACCAAUCUCAGUGUGUCCUCCCAGGUCCAGUGUUUGGGGUGACCUCCUUCCUUUCUUCCAACAGUGUCUUAAAGAAAGAACUGAACAAAUGAAGAUUAUGCUUUCUUCAAUCGACCCAAGGCUCCACUGGAGGAAAGGUGGACAAAGUCAGGAAGUUUGUGAACAAUGUGAUGGCCAAGUUUGUUCUCUGUGUUAAUGGAGCACUGUCCAUCAUCCACACAUAGUGUUUAACAAACCUGAGCUAUAUUUAAAUGAUGAGGUUCAUUUAAGCCCUAAGGGAAAUGAUAUAUAUAUUUUUUACUGAUAUUAUCCGGUGUUUGAGAGACCACAGACCAUAAGCCUGAUGCUGGAUUGGUGCAUGUUUUGGGAAAGAAGGUCUCCUGUAUUUUUUUUAAGUACCUGUAAAAGUACCCAGCAGUGUGUUCAACAAAUGCCUGACUUAAUAAAAGUA